ensembl:lncRNA
CCCAUAGACAGCAGCCCACCAGGCUCCCCUGUCCCUGGGAUUCUCCAGGCAAGAACACUGGAGUGGGUUGCCAUUUCCUUCUCCAAUGCAUGAAAGUGAAAAGUAAAAGUGAAGUCGCUCAGUCGUGUCUGACUCUAGCGACCCCAUGGACUGCAGCCCACCAGGCUCCUCCAUCUAUGGGAUUUUCCAGGCAAGAGUACCAGAGUGGGGUGCCAUGGAUUAUAAAUAAGAAUCUUAAAAACCAAUUAAUGGUUUUUGUUCCGGGCAAGUGCAAGAAGAGUGACAGCACUCUGCUCGUCAUUUUCCAGCCCUUCUCAGCAAUACUUUCAGCCCAUGGGCUGCUCUGAGCACAAAUAGAGGAAUGGAGAUACUAGAGUCGGGGAAGGAAAGACAGUCGCAGAGUAGAACCAGAGGAAGUCGUUCAGAGGAGACGUCGUAUGUGAAAGAAAUAAAGAAGGUCUAUGCAGGGCCAGCAUGAGAGACUGUCACCAGCAGGGACCUCAGAUGCCACUGGGUAGCCUCAGUGCUCCAGGCUGCCUGUUCCUGCGUUGAACUGUCAUGGAUCUAAAUUUCCAUUCUGCAUAGCAGCUGCCACAUUCAGAGUUAUACUGUAAAUCUAGGAGUCAAAUAGCAAUAGAAUUGGAGGAGAAAGGAGAACCAGGGCUACGGGAUGGAUAGGAACUCAGGAGAAAUAGUCUGAAGUGCAUCAACCCUCUGCUCCUCUCUGCCUGGACAUCUCCAUCACAAUGGUUAUUGAACAGGUCUUAUACAGAGAUGAAGACCUGUUCUCUACCUUCAGGAGGGUCCCAAUCUGGUAGUAAUAAAAGAUCUGUCAACAACAGCACCCAUUAAAAAGUUUCGUGUGAUGAGAAGAAACGGGGUGACUCGGGUUCCACCAGAUCUCUAACUUCUGAAGCACUCAGGGUGGAGUUAAAGGGAGCCUAGUUUCCUCAGGAGACAGCACGGCAAAUUGAGACAUUUCUUUGGAGAAGAUAACUUGAAUAUAAUGGAAUAAAAUGUCUUAAUGUAGAAGUUCAGUGUAGACAUUCUUGAUGAUGGAGUUAAUUGCACAUUUUAAGUAAUUAGAAUUGUUAAACAUGUGAAGGGCAGAAAAAUUGACUAGAUACUUGAGUUAUGGUGCCAAAAUGCUGUUGGUAAAUUUUAUAAUCAGAUCAUGAAAAAGUCUGCAGAUUAGAAACUUACAUCUUCCCUUUUAUUUGUAAGAAGACUGUAGUAGAGAAAGAAAAUGGGACUUUUGUGCUAUAUUCAUGGAACUCUUAAUAUGUACAACCAAAACGUGAAAAAUCAAUGUUGUCAACUGGUGAAAAUUAAUCAAAUUGUGUACUUUUCU